rnacentral:lncRNA from 1 species
UUCAAUAUUCCCACAAUGGGGCCCCUGCUCUUGGGGAAGUUCUGGACGCAUGAAACCAAUGCGGCCGUGUUGAAAUAGGUCUCCCCGUUUGUCCCAACGAAUAUAAGAAUCCACAUCUGUACGAUUAGAGCCCCAAUGUUAAAUCAAAAACCAAUAAAAGGCAAAAAAAAAAAACUGUUGGACAAGAGUGAAGCAUCUGUUGUUAAUACGACGAAGAUAUGGGAAUUUUAGAACCAAGAAUAUAUAAAAAAAAGCAUAAUAUAAGGUGCUAAUAUCGCUUAUUAGGAAGCACUGAUAAGAAAACGGGGCAUUCUCUCACUAAUUUUUUAUGAAAAACUAUUGAACCACAAACAAAACCUGCUUGCAUGUCAGAAUGGGUAAGAUCGAGGACAACUAUAAUGCAUCAUUGGAAGGUAGGUGGUAUGGUGCAAGAUCAAGAUAAAUUUUAUGGCCCAGAAAGCCAAACAGCGGAUUUCUGCAACCCCCAGAAAUUUGCCUUCGGAAUGUUCAUCCUUUUUUGGGCUAAGUCACCAGAAGAGUGCAAAAGACAAUGACCAGAUCGGAAGCAUGACAGCUCAAGCAUCUGCAUGGUCAACCCAGCUAAUUUCCCAUAAUGGAAUAUGGCUCAUGAUUUCCUGGAACAUGAUUCAUCCACCAUCGUUAUCUACCCUUCCACUGGAACAUUGAAUUAAACUAGGACGCAAACUCCACCUUAUGCGUGUUCCCCAGUAGACCAAUCAUCAGCAUGGGAUGAAGACUUGCUAAAGUUAGAAGAUGAAAAUGAAGCCGAUUCCUUGUCCUUCUGUUGCACCAUAUUCUAUUGCUGCUAUCAUGGUUAUCUGAGAGCCCAAUUCCCGUCCAAAGUUAUGCCCCUUCCCCAGCAUAGUUCUAAUGAGCUCAUUCUACAUCCAAAAAGCCAACAUUCUUAGCUAGUAGAGAUUUAUGCAUGCAUCUGCAGGCUGAUUUCAGACGAUAACAAAGGCCUCAACUCCAGUCUCCCAUGCUGUAUCUUGGACAGGAGAUUAAUUUUUUCAGCAAGCCAUGCUGGGAUGAUGAUCAUGAAUAACAAUGCUACGAUUUCCUCUGUCCACGAAAAAUGUCCAACUAAAUUUUUUAUACGUUCUGAGCAUAAUUAUGAACGACUUGAGAGCCUGCACAUCCCGGCCCAGGUUAAAUGACUCAGUCUCAUUUUAAAGGACCUCUAAUGUGUCCACAGAACUCUGCAAUUGUCACAAAUAUACAGGAAAUGUGAUCAAAUCUACUAAAAACCAGCAGGAAUCCACAUGUUCGACUAACCUCUGAGCAUUAGCUUCAUACACUUAGUGAAUCAUUGGAUGAAAUACAAAAUAAAUAAAAUGAGGUUGGGUCUUCAAAGCUAAAUUAACAAGCAGCUGAGGACAGCUCACAUUCAUUCGCAUUGAGACCUGAGAUGCUACAGGAUAUCCCGAUUCUGCUCAUGAGACCAAAUGACUCGGUUCACAAAAUCUUUCCCAACGUGGGAGAGAUGAUGAGGUGAAUGUGAAAAUAAUAGGUCCGAUGAUGACGAUGAUGUUUGUUCUUGUUGUUAUCAUUAUUAUUAUUGACAUGCUAUAAGUUUCAUGGCAUCUUCUGCUGAAUGUAACUGUGAACAGUGAAAUAUUAUGAACUUGUGACGCAUGCAGUGCCUUCAAAACAAAGUGAGAAGAUAAAUUGGAUUCAUGAAUUAGAAGCUCUCGGAUUUAGAUUAAAAAACAAAACGAAAUAAAGCCCACUACGAAACAAAGAAGAUGCCAAAAGAGAGUGAUUCUCCAAAACAUCCAGCUCUAUGUGACCAGUUAUCGCAGAGAUGCGGCCAUUAGAACAUCAUAAGCUAUAAAUAAUACUGAAUGCACCACACAGAAAAAAAAAAAUGGAAAUGAAUGAGUUAAUUCCAAUCGGAAGCACAGAACUACAAGGAUAAUGUCCCAGACAUUGGGAGAUGACAAAUUAUCCAGAAGAUCCUAAUCAAGAUUCUUGCGGGAGAACGGAUGCAGACAGACGAUUCAGACGCAAAAAAUGAAGAUAAGAGUUGCAGAGGGACUUACAGCCCAAAGGGGUAACUGGGGAGCCCUCCCAGUCACAAUGAGCCAGACCCAGCCAUAGCCGACGAAGUUCUGCAAGGCUCCGAGUAGCAGAGCUCCCCAGAUCGGCAGGACCUCGCAGAGGCUCCCCGCCAGGAACCCGACGCUGUCGCCGAGGUCCUUGGCCACUCCGAGGCUGGCGAUCUGCCGCUGGUUGUAGCUCAAGGCGCUCUUAAUGAUCGGCGAGAGGCUCCCAAAGAGGUAGCCGAGGCCCGCACAGGACUGAACCCACAUUGCCGCUACGAAAACCAGCCAUCUGUUGUUCAGAAAAGACUGAAUCCUCCCUCCGAGCCUCCCCAUCGCAGUGAUCGAGACGAGCUCCCGAUCUCCAGCAGCCGACUAUUUCGCUGAUCUUCCAAGCGCGGCAAGAUCGAAG